AGCGUCAAUUCUGAAAGUUCUAAAUUUCCAACAAAAUAACUUGACAUCUCAUUGCAUUUCUCAAACAACAGUUCAAAAUCUCAAAAACACAAUGCUAGCCAUAUCAGAUAAUUUCAAUUUAAAAAUUUGCAUAUUUCAGUACUUCAGUGGUAGGCGAUUAUAUCAAUACAAUCAAGACGGCUUUUUUAUUUAAGUUUUGAUUGAUAACAAGCUUUUUCGAACUACAAGUUUAUAAGUUAUCAAAGAGAAGCUUUUUUUGAUUGCCAGAUUCUCUAGAUUUCUAUGUUCAAGAGUAUUCAUGAUGAUUACCAGCUUGAUUUAAAUCAAAAUUAAAAUAGAAAGUCGUCUUCGUUGUAUUGAUAUAAUCGCCUACCACUCUAGCAAUUUUUUGUAGAUCUUGUAUGAAAAGCAAAGUGCGCGCUUAAAGGAAGCACAGGAAAGACUGACUGGCGAGGGACAUGCUGCGAUCAGCCAGGAACUACGAAUAGCUACACAGAAAAGCAGGAUUGCUGAGUUGGAAGGCAUGCUGAACCUGGCAACAGAAAAUACAAACAAUAUUAGACGUCAGAAUAUGUCACAUUUAGAAAAGGAGGAGCAACUUCGUCGAGAUAUUGAGCUAGGAGAUAAAGAAAUAGGACUACUUACAUCAGAGUUGGCUCAAACAGAAUCAAAACUUAUGAGAGCUCAGAAAAAAAUUGAUGAACUUAUGUUACAACAAAGAGAUCGUUGGGAACAGUUCUGCAG